rnacentral:tRNA from 1 species
GGUCUCGUAGCUCACCAGCUGGUGGAGCAUGCGCGUACAAAGCGUAGGUGGCGUCCAUGCGUGGGUUCGAAUCCCACCGAGGCUA